rnacentral:piRNA from 1 species
AUUGAGUGUGUGGACAAUCAGUGGAGAACA